UACGAAGGGGGCUAGCGUUGCUCGGAAUUACUGGGCGUAAAGGGCGCGUAGGCGGACAGUUUAGUCAGAGGUAAAAGCCCAGGGCUCAACCUUGGAACUGCCUUUGAUACAGCACGUCUCGAGUCCGGAAGAGGUGGGUGGAAUUCCUAGUGUAGAGGUGAAAUUCGUAGAUAUUAGGAAGAACACCGGUGGCGAAGGCGGCCCACUGGUCCGGUACUGACGCUGAGGUGCGAAAGCGUGGGGAGCAAACAGG
rnacentral:rRNA from 1 species